rnacentral:piRNA from 2 species
UGGGCACAGAAGUUAGGAAGGGCUGUCU